UCAUAACAAGAGAAAUUUAUUGCUCACAGUUCUGGAGCCUGGGAAGUCCAAGAUCAACGUACCAGCAGAUUCAGAUGAAGGCGUGUUCUCAGCUUCAUAGGUGGUGCAUUCUUGCUGCUUCUUCACAUGAUGGAAGGAGUGAACAAGCUCCCUUGGGCCUCUUUUACAAAGAUGGCAAAGAAGGAGAGAAGAGAAGAAGUAGCCAGACAUUGGAAAGAAACAGCUUGACUUCAGAGGAAUGGCUUGAUGGUGGGACUUAGGAGAAGUGUACAGCAGGGGACUGCUGGACUCCAUGGGAAGAUCACCUUCCCACUCCAUCCCCCUUCCAGCUCCCCAUCCUGCUGGGAGCCACUUUCAUCAGUAAUAAAAUUCUCCGCAUUCAUCACCCUUCAAUUUUUUCAUGCAACCUUGGUUGCAAGGACUCAGGUGGAGAGACGAAGGAUCAAGCAAUGUGACUGGUAGAAACUGUGUUAUACAAGGUAAACCAAGAGAGAAUUGUGCAAAAAUGUCUUCAGGGUCACUUCUUUCCCUAACUUGGUCCCUCAGAGUUCUUUCCACUAGAUAUCCAGUGUGUUCAACCUAACUCCUAUCUGCAGUGGGCCUCCAAAUAUUGCACCCCUAUGGGCAGGGCUGUGUGUCAUUUCCCUGGCCCCUAUCUGGGUCAAAACUGUCAUUCCUCCAGGGACCUGCUGGGCAACUAGCAAACUAAUCUUCAAUGUAUUUUACCCAAGGUGUUAAUGACAGAUAAUGGCUUAAUGCAUUACCCCUCCCAGCUAACAUUUCCAUUUUAAUAGAGCCUUUAAAUGCUUUAACCUGAAGGAAACAGCAUGAAAAAUGCAGGGAUAGCAAAUAUCUGGCACCUUUGCUCCUUCCCUGUUCCUGGAAGACAUCUUCAAAUGGUCACUGAGGCUUUUCCUGCUAUGCCUGGACAUACCCUGAGAAGCCCAUAGGGCCCUGGGCAGCCCCUACCAGCCUAUGAUGGGAGUUACCAUGCAAGAUGAAAUCUAUUUGCCAACCUUAUCGUGAAACAAAUAUUUGUCCAGGAGUAAAAAGACCUGAAUUCUACUUUGGGGCUUUGACAUUACCUGGACAUAGGGCCUAAACAAAUUUAUUAGACAUUUCCAAGUCUCAGUUUCCUUACCCAUAAAAUGAGAGGACUGGCAUUAGAGUCAAGCAUUUCCAAAGCAUAGUUCUCAAUCUGCCAGGGACUCUCAAAAUCUGACCUCACAGCUCUCCAAGCUGGUUGCUGCUACCACGUACCUCUUCCCAUUUUUGCCUUGCUUCCCACAAGGGAAGGAAAUUCACUCCCAACUGGGCACCACCUUUCUAUCUCUAUUUGGGGACCUUCCUGUCCCUGAAAGGCCCUGGGAACAUAAUGUAAAGCAACUAUGGGGGCAGCUGCUAAGAAGCCAGAUCUUGUGACACUAAGAGUCCAGUCACGUGGUUCAGAGUCCACAGCAACCUGUGGCGACUAUGCAGUCAUCAGCCAGAGAGGCAGAGCCUCUGUCUGGAGAUGUGUCAGAAAUGGGUGUGACUAGUCCCAGACACAUCAAGUGAGGAAAAAUCAGGUGUGCAGAUUACGUUGUGUAAAUGCCUUUCUAAUUCUCAAUGCUCCAGGAAGGAAUCUCAGAGAUUAAAUUAAGCUGUUAACCCUCUAGGCGCUCCUGUCGUUUAUUGUUAAGGAAUUAAUAGGAAUGCGGGAAUGCAGAUGGCCUGGCUGUCAGCUCGGAGAGGCGAUUUUUCUGAUCUCCAAGGAGGUUUCCAGCAUCUUUCAUUAAGCACUCGUGUACCAACUUGUCAUUUUAACCGAGCAGCAAAGAAACUCCCACUCAACUGCCUACCUCAGGUGCUGGGAGUGCAAUCCUCGGAGGAGUCUUUCUGGGUUGCAGGUGCAGGGGAGGCGCCCAGGUGAUGGGGGUGGGGUGCAGCGAGAAAUGGAUUUAAAGCCACUCCAGGAAGGAAAUCGGAUCCCAAAACCUGGUUGUCCUGGGCACAGGCUUCAGGUGACUGCAGAAGAUUCCUCUCUAGCAAUCCUGAACUGAGCAGAGAUGUGAAAACUUACUUCUUUCCGCUUUCUCGAAGCGCUCCAGGACGCAGGUGGCACGCUCAACGCGGGGAGGCGCCACCUACAGGACAGAGGAAGACCUGCAGCUUGGGCUUGAGAUUUCAACAGUCUGUGGCGGGGGCUGAUGAGGGCGGCCCCUCCUCCUCCUGGAGUAAUAAUAGUCCCUGACAUUUAUCGAAUGCUCUUCUCGUGCCAGACACUGUCCUGAGCACUUGACAUGUAUUAAUGAUUUUAAACCUCACAACAACCCUAUUAGAGCAUGCCCUUGUCACUUCGGCCUGAGUCCCAGAAUGAGAAGUUACAUGGAGCAGACCUGAACAAGAUUCACAACCUGAACAGAAUCACUGCAGCCAAUCCACAAACCUAAAAUUGUCUACAUUCCUGCCUGGGCAUGGUGGCUCAUGCCUGUAAUCCAGCACUUUGGGAGGCCGAGGUGGGCGAGUCACUUGAGUCAGGAGUUCGAGACCAGCCUGGCCAACAUGGUGAAACCCUGCCUCUACUAAAAAUACAAAAAAUUAGCUGAGCAUGGUGGUGCAUGACUGUAAUCCCAGCUACUUGGGAGGCUGGGUCAGGAGAAUCGCUUUAACUGGGAGGUGGAGGUUGCAGUGAGCCAAGAUCACGCCACUGCACUCCAGAGUGGGAAACAGAGCAAGACUCCACCUCAAAAAGAAGAAGGAGAAGGAGAAGGAGAUUAUCUACAUUCCUGAGGAGGAGAAGUUGUACUUAAACUACCUUGAUCCAACUUCCAGCUUUACAAUCAUUGCCCCCCACCAUGCAUAUAUCAUACAUAUAUACCUGCUAGCAUGAAUACCUGCAUCAUAUCUAGAAUUAAUGGGAAUAGUCAUAGGGCCAAUCUUUCUUAUAUCAAGCAAGCUGAACAAGGGUCCAAGGGAUAAGGCCACAGCUACUUCCUCCUGCUUUAGAACAGAGCUAAAUAAACCUGUUCCUAAGUCUUGUGAGUUAUUGCAUCCUUGCCUUAUAAGGAAUGAAGACUUAACCUGCUUCCUGGCAGUCAUUACUAACUGAGUGAAGAUUCCCAUUAAUCCAGAAAUGGGAGCCUCUCUGGCUUGCAUAUGUCCAGGAAUGGACAUACCACCCACAGUUUUACUCCUGGUGGCCAAUCGGUCCCGCACACAAACACAGGCACAUCUUUUAUUUAAUGCUCAAGAUUUGUGAACAACUCCCAGCACUGUGCCUUCCAAAGGGCUUGCAUUAAGUGCUGGUGAAGGAGCAGGGACCUCUAUCAUGGCCAGAGCCAGUCAAUAAUGACACCCUGGCAGCUCUCAAAGGUGCACGAGUGGAAUGGCCAUUGAGCUACUCCAUGCAAUGAAAAGUUCUAAUGGGGAGUGGGGACACUUCUCUCCCCAGUCCCAUCCCAUGGCUUGGCUGAAAAUUUUUUUCUUUUGGGAGAUCACUGGCUUUCUCCAGCAACCUUGACUAUAAGGAUGAGGAUGAGGAGAAAAAAUAAGAACUGCCGAGUGUGGUGGCUCACGCCUGUAAUCCCAGCACUUUGGGAGGCUGAGGUGGGUGGAUCACAAAGUCAGGAGUUCAAAACCAGCCUGGCCAAGAUGGUGAAAUCCCGUUUCUACUAAAAAUACAAAAGAAAAAAAAAUUAGCCAGGCGUGGUGGCGAGUGCCUGUAAUCCCAGCUACUGGUGAGGCUAAGGCAGAGAAUUGCUUGAACCAGGGAGGCAGAGGUCACAGUGAGCCGAGAUCAUGCCACUGCACUCCAGCCUUUGCAACAGAGUGAGACUCUGUCUCAAAAAAAAAAAAAGUACACAGGGGAGGUUGUGGGGAAUUUGGAAUAUUCCCUAAGGAUUUCCUCCAUUGAAGAGGUCUGCUUUAAAGUACUGGGGGUCCACAAACUCACCCCAUUUCCAGCUUGGCCUUGGGAGAAGAGGAGGACAGAGAACAGAAUUCUGGAUUGUUACUAGGUAGUUGGGCUGCAUCAGGAAGACAUUUUGGUAGAAGGAGAGGAAAGAGAGGUAGGAAGUGGGAAGGGAAGCACUAAGGGUUUUUUUUUUGACCCUGAUCCCCUUAGCUAGACAAGCUCAGUGGGGCUUAGGAUGGAGGUCAGGGAUAGCCUAAGAUCCUGUUACUGAAAGGGUAGUCUCCAGCCAGCAGCAUCAGCAUCACCUGGCUCUUAGGCUUCACCCCAGACCUACUGAAUCAGAAACUGCAUUUUAAUCCCUAGGUGAUAAGUAUGUCCAAUAAAAUUUCAGAAGCAUUAGCCUAGAUGCUUCAAUGGGAAUAACUUCUUGCAGUGAGCUAUUGAGGAACUGUGCUGGAUAAUCUCUCUGCCCUUCCAAAUCCACUUGCCAUCCUUAUUCCCCUGCUCUUGGGACUAAGAAGUGAAUUGAUGAAUUCGCUUCCUUUAUUCAUUGCUUCAACAGGCUCCCUUGUCAUCUGGCUUCUGGUUGGGCUCAGCCAAUGGUCAGUGCUCAAGAAGCAGUGACUUAAGUGACAUUAAUAGUGACUUUACCAGCCAGGCAGGGUGGCUCAUGCCUGUAAUCCCAGCACUUUGGGUGGCCAAGACGGGUGGAUCACCUGAGGUCAGGAGUUUGAGACCAGCCUGGCUAACAUGGUGAAAUCCUG
rnacentral:lncRNA from 10 species